GGAGAGAAAGCUUGGGCCUUAAGCCCAAGCUUCCAUAAACAUGGUCCGGAUCCUACACAAACUAACCAAUAUUUGCCCCACCAAAAACUCAACGCAGCAACAGCAAUUCACCGUCACCAUCAACGCAAACUCACCAAGAAAAAUAUUCAAAAAUUCAAUUCAAAAUUCUCGCUUCCUCAUUCGCAUAACCCCCCUUUCAAAUCUCAGGUGAACAAUGAAAGCAAGAACGAUACGCCAUGAAUUCAUCGCUAAAAUCAAAACCAACGAAGGUCUCUUCUUGCGCACGGAUGAAAGAAGACGAAAGGAGAAACUUACCGGAUGAUUCCAACACGGUGGCUCUGGGUAAUCUUCUUCUUCGCGCCUUCGAUUUUCUUCUAUCACUUCUGUUGCAUUGUUGUUUGUUCUUCAGUUUCGUCACAUGUGCAUAAUCGUGCGUGUUGAAUGAUGACGAGUGUGAAAUUGUUGUGCAACUUUAAUGAUAAUUGAGGCAUGAUGGAUUAUUGUUAAGGGUGAAGAUUGUUGAAUCUAUGUUUGUGUUCUUUAUUGUUGAGACUUGUUUGUGGAAUUUUUCUCCUUAAGAACUUUUUCUGUGUUUCUCUUAUGUGCUUCUGUUGAGAAUUCUUCUUCGUCUAAUUCUCUCUCUGUUUCCCUGUGAAUUUUCUGUUGUGGAUCCUUUUAUGAAGCUUUCUUCACCGCCUGUUAUGAACUUCCUGUGAGUUUUCUUUUGAGAAUUUCAUGUGAAGUUCUCUUAUGAUUCCAUAUGAAGAUGGUAUUGACAGUUGAUUCUCAAUGGUUGAUGUUUUUUUAUUUUGGUUCAGAGGUCGAGAGGGUGUGAGGGGGUGUGAGGCUGAGUUUGGUUAUGUGGAUGGAAGAGAGUUUGUUGAGAAGGUGUGAGGAGGUUAGAGAGUUGUUUAGAAGGUUGUUAUGAGUUGGUUAAGAAGUUAGUUGGAAAAAUUAUGAGGUGAUGAAAUUUUGUUGAGAAUUGUUGGUUACGUUGAGAAUUGUUGGAAGGUUAAGUUGGAAUUUUCAGUCCCCUAAUUUUGUUUCUGUUAGAAGUUUUUGAAGGGUUUAGGUUGGUUAGAGAAGUUGAAAGUUUGGUUGAGGAGGGAAUAUAUGGUUAAAAAACAGUUGGAGGUUUUUUAAGGUUAUGAGUUUUCUUGGUUGAUGAAAAAUGGUCUGAAAUUCGAUUAUAAGAUUUUAGUUCGGAGGUUAUUGAAAAUUGGUUGAAGGUUUUUGUGGAAGAUGGUUGAGUUUUAGAGCGUGUGAGGUUCGAAUUGGUUGUUAGAGGAGUUAGUUGUAGUGAAAAAAAAUCCCUCUUUAAUUUUGUUAUGAAAGUUAUCUACUAUUGAAGGGUUUUGGAAGUUAGAAGUGGUUUUAGAAGAGAAAACAGUUGGAGGUUUCUUGUGAAAAUCUCAUUUGGGAAGAGGGAAAUGGUGGUUUAUUGAAGUUUUGUUAUAAGAUUUGAGAAUUGGUUAUUAAAGUGGAAAAUAAUGGUUAGAAUAUUCUGUUGGAGUGAGGAAAAAGUUUAAAAUGAAAAACGGUUUUGUUUUAUGCAUGUUGAUGUUUGCUAAUGAGUCUUUGAUUACCAUGGUACAAGGCUUGGAUUGGAUGCUUGCUAUGUCUACAUUGAAAUAUUGUAAUGGUGUGAUGGAUCAUGUUGAAGCUUUUAGUGUCAUGUUUUAGAGCUUGAACUGUUAUGGACCAUUGCAUUGGUUUGCUUGGAAUUUUGUUGUAACUUGGUUGUAAAUUGAAAUGGUAUUGAAAUGUGGAUGUGGAAAUUGAAUGUAAUGAUGUAAUUUUGUUGUAAUCAUGAAAUGAAAUAUGUGAAUAUUGACGUAUGUAUGAAAAUGUUGUGAAAUGUAAUAAGAAUGGUAUUUUGUACAUGUAUGGAAUUAUG
rnacentral:lncRNA from 1 species